UUGGCUCUUCCUGGCACCAAACAACCUCUGCGUUCGGAUAGCGCUUCAGUUCUCUCUCAAUGAGGUCAAAAGGAAAGGGACAAAGUUGUUCAACUCUACAGAUUGCAACGUCCUUGCGGUCUUUCUUCUUCCUUUCUUCAUCAAGCUCAUAAUACACCUUUCCAGAGCACAAAAUCAGACGAUUUAUACCCUCUUCUAACUCUUUAUGGUCAUUUUGAUCUUUUAUGAGGCGCUUGAAGCGAGUUCCUUGCUUGUCAAAUCCUGGAUGACCUAGUACAUCAUCAAAUUCAGAUAGAUGAGAUUUACAAUCCUUGUGCCGAAGCAGGCUCUUGGGUGACAUCACUAUCAGAGGUUUUCUGAAAUCUCGGUGUAUCUGACGCCGUAAAACAUGGAAAUAGUUUGCAGGUGUUGUGACGUUCACAACUUGCCAG
rnacentral:misc_RNA from 1 species